rnacentral:rRNA from 1 species
GACGGAGGAUGCAAGUGUUAUCCGGAAUCACUGGGCGUAAAGCGUCUGUAGGUGGUUUAAAAAGUCCACUGUUAAAGGUUGAAGCUUAACUUCAAAAAUGCCGUGGAAACUUUUAAACUUGAGUAUGAUGAGGGGUAGAGGGAAUUCCAGUGGAGCGGUGAAAUGCGUAGAUAUUGGAAAGACCACCGAUGGCGAAGGCACUCUACUGGGCCAUUACUGACACUGAGAGACGAAAGCUAGGGGAGCGAAUGGG